UAGUUUGCAAACCCCACAGACUAUUUACAAAGUAGCCUAAUAAAACUGUCACAUAGGUGUAAAUGCGUGUGCGGACUUGUCUGAAAUCGAAAAUCUCACGCCAGCCGGCUGACCAAAGUUGACAGCCCCGAGUUAUUAUUUAAUGUGCAAUACAACAUUAACCCAAACUAAAAUUGAGUGAAAUUAAAAACUAUUCCUUUUUAACUUUGCUGCUAGAAGAACUAUGAAAAUGGACGUAGUUCAUGGGUUAGUUGCUAUUCUGACUGCAGCCAUUUUAUUUCAUUGUUUGGUUAAAAAAAACUAAUGUGAAACAUGUUUGAUGAAUGAUGCACUCUAUAUGAUUCCAAAUUACCAGAAAAAAAACCAUAUUUUUUUCUUUUUUGGGAAUCCUGAUUUACUUUAUAUUUUAGUUUCUUUUUUUUAAUCCACACUAUUUAGGAAUAAGAUUGUAGCUGUCACCAGGAAAUUGGUGCUCAUGCAUUUAUUUAAUAUUCAUUUGUAUUUUGUUCAGUGAAUGUAUUUUGUUUCAUUUUGUUGGCAACAUGUUAUUAUUUGUAAUAUUACUUGUAAAAGGUUUAAUGUAGAGGGUUCCUUGUAACAGUGCCUCCCACUGUUCAGCAGAACAGUCUAUUUACGCAAUCACAUGACCUACUGUAGCGUAAUGAGCAGCGGAAGGAAGGCCGGGUUAGCAAGCAGAGUGAAGUCAGAGUGAACAACGGCUAAGAAAAGAAAAUCAAAAAGGUUUGAAAGAAAGAUGUAAUGCAGUAAUGUCUCCUAAACUGUGGUCAGAAGGAGCACACGGUAUGUCAUUGUUUUGCCUUUUCUUGUUUUAAUAUGUAUAUUUAAUAUGUAUGUUCGUUGAGUUUUCGCUGUCCUGUAUACAUAGUAGAAGCGUGUAGAUUGCUUAUUUAAGACCCGUAAAUUAUCAUUGUAUGUGUAAUGGUAGUGUUUCUUUAUUCCAGUUUUUCACUGUGGUUCAUGGUGUGAUUUGUUACGUCGAUGGAAAAAUAAAUAAAUAAACAAAAUUACCGCGCUAAACAUCAGUUGAAUCGUGAACUAACUUCUGACAGAAGAAAACACUAGGAGCCAUUAUAAAGAUUAUGGGAUGCAGUGAGGCCCACAAUACACUCACAUCAACACUGCAGUAAUAAAGAUACAGCACUGAACACAAUGGAAAGGCGGGGUCUCACUCUGACGUCCCUCUCCUUCCUCUGGUGAUGAGCUCCACGUACUGCGCUGCGCCCCCUGCUGGCAGCUUAUUUGUUUCUCUCCCCCCUUUAAAGAUGCUGUGCACCUGUUCACUUGGGGGCGAAUCUAUAAGACCUUUCCGGUUAAACCUGUACGGGGGCAAUAAAGGAUUGUGACAUCAACUAGAUUCAAACUCACUGGCUCCAGUUGACCUGCCAGUCACAGCUGGGUCACUUUGCAACCAUGAACUUAGAGAAAUGUUCUGUAAUUAAGGAAGGAUGGAAAAGCACUGCCUGUGUUUGAAUGAAAAAUGAUGUGCUGGAAAAAUAUUCAGAAAUGCUGUGUAAAUGUUUACAUUUAUUUAAACAUUCUGGCAAGAGCAUUCAUCAAUUUAAAAAAAACUUUACUGUAUGGUAUUGUUUAUCUGACUGAAAUGCUGAGCUAAAAUACAGCUUUUGACUAAGUCUAGUUAAGGUGAUUUUUCUAAAGCUGUGUGUUCAUCCACCUACUCUUACAGGAUUACAGUGGGUUUCAGCCAGUGGGUCUCGGCCCCUUUAGGGGGCCAUUGGCAUUCCUGUGUCUGGGGGUUUUUGUUUUUUACAUUGUUAUAAUAUGCAGACGUAACUAAAUAUUAUUUUGAGUUAUUGUAUAUUAUUCUUGUGAUAAAUGCAAAAAAAUAAACCUAUUUAGGCCGAGCUUGUCGCCUGCUCAGACUAAACUAACUAAUAACUGGCUACCAACACAACUAGCUCAGUAUUUUCAUAAAUUCAAAGCAAAUCAAAAUAAAGCGUUUCUCUUUCCAUCA